rnacentral:piRNA from 1 species
UCCNCCAUGGUCUCUGCAGAAGCCAGUCCCC